UAGGUAUCACAAUCUAAGGCUAGAGCAUUAACUUCACACCCAGAGAGGAUAAUUUCUAUACAGGUUCGGGAACUGCAAACUCGUUUGCAAAGUGUGCAGGCAACAGGCCCAUCCAGCCCAAGUCGUCUCACUUCAGCAAAUCGACCCAUUAACCCCAGCACAGGAGAGCUGAGCACAAGCAGUAGUAGCAAUGACAUUCCCAUAGCCAAGAUUGCUGAAAGAGUGAAGUUGUCGAAGACGAGAUCGGAGUCUUCAUCAUCUGACAGACCUGUCUUAGGAUCAGAAAUCAGCAGCAUAGGGGUAAGGACUAAUGAUUAUGCACGUGCACAUUACCUUUUGAGGAUGACUCGUGUUUUACUUAAAGCGGCAUUGUUUUCUCUCUGAAUUUAAAUCUGAGCUAACUGGAAA